UAUGAUAAAAAAUUACAGACCUCUACAUGCUUUGCUUGCAAAUGCUGUGUUCCUGCUGGGGGACCUUAAAGCAAUGCAGGGACCAAACAUCACAAUGUUUCUUCACUAUGACAUUGCUUGCCAGCUGAAGCCUCAUUUACAGAAAAACAGUCCUGGUCUAAUGGUGGACACCACAUUUGCAGUGCCAGCCUUUCAUGCCUAUGCUCAUGAUGCUGACUGUCAGGUCACUGACGGUACCAGGUAUGUGACUGGUAGUGGGCUUGCUGACGGAGAAUAGAUGGAGAGGUUGUGGUCCUACCUUAGAAAAUUUGGGAAGAUCACAAAAGAGAUGACACCAUCUCAUCGUGUUGCCCUCCUCACACCCUCACCGAUCCCCUCCUCUACUGCGCAGCCAGGAUCAGGGAGAAGCAAGGUAUGAAUGUAGAACUGGAAAUCAGUUAAGUAUUGAGAUGACCCAUUGUUCAGGAUUGUGUUGAUAUCAUUUUGCACAAAAAAAACGCUGGCGUAUUUUAAACAAUCUAUUAAAUGUUUAGUCACCUUCAUAUGUAAUAGCACCAGCAAUACAACUCCGUCGGCAGAAGGUCCUGAAGGAGGAAACCGAGGCAAAGGAGGAGUUGAUGGUGCUGCUAAACAGCAUUCCAGGCAGCACACAGUCGGACGUGGAAGUUUGGACCCAUCAGAUAAAGGAGUCCCUCAUAGACAAGAGGACGUUGUUCCUUACGUGGCAGGAGAGAUACGUGGAAACUCUCGCAGAGCAACAGCGAGUCACAUAAGUAGUUGCUACAUCUCUGACCUAAGGUUUUAUCCCAUCUCUAAACACCCCUUUCUGCCUGGCUUAGCCCUACCAGUCAUGACUGCCACGUUCCUAUACCCUGCUGUGUCCUGGUCCCACAAUCUCUUGGAUCUGCAUAGCUACUCCCUGUUACUUUAUACUCUUAUCACCACCUCCUGCUGUCACCUGCCCCAUUCCACUACAUGUCUCAGAAACAUGAGUUCCCCCCUCCCCUGCAUAAUCUAUUCUACAUGAAGUCUGCUGACCUGUGUGCCAACACUUCACGCUGCAUAAUCCACUCUACACUCAAAUCUACACUCAAAUGGAUUUUGCCUUCCUAACUGGUUAGUUUUAUGUUGAGAUGCUUUCAUACUGUUAUAAUUUCACUUAUAUAUUUGUAUAAUAUUUUCUUGGUCUGACCUGAUGUCCCCGUCAAUCACCGAUGAUAGGAACGCUCAGUUGACUACUCAGCUUGAAAAGUAAAUCGCUUUUAGGAUGUUGUCUCCAUCAUAUUUGUCCCACUGUAAUUGGGCUAGUCAAUAUAGAUUUUAAACCUUUUAAUAUAAAUGUUCACGUUUCAGCCUGGAGAAAAGGUUGAAGGCCAUGGAGAAGAGAAACCAGAUUGUAAUCUGGUCUCUUCAACACUGCAGUAAUUUUGGAAAGUCUGCACUGGAUGCUGGCCACAAUCCAUAGGCUGGUCCUGGAGCGCUCUUUCUAUUGUCGCCUGGUCAGAAAAUAUGCAGGUACUGCAGCCAAUUCAGUGUUGCUGAACACUGCAUCACACCCUGGCAUAUCACUGCUGUUGUUAUCUAAGUCUCAUUCACCCAGGUGUUGUGAACAACUCCAAUCAAGUUGAAGAAACAUCUCGAGGAUGAUCAAUGGAAACAGGAUGCACCUGAGCUAAAUUUGUAGGUCCUGGUGCAGCACAACCACCAGCUCCAGCCUCAGGCCAACCUCCAGCCUCAGCCCAACCUCCAGCC